GAUGAACGCUNGCGGGAGGCCUAAUACAUGCNAGUCGAACGGUAACAGGGUAGCAAUACUGCUGACGAGUGGCGCACGGGUGAGUAACACGUACACAAUCUGCCUUAUACUGGAGCAUAGCCUUGGGAAACUAAGAUUAACUCUCCAUAACAUAGUGAAGCGGCAUCGCUUUACUAUUAAAUCUCCGGAGGUAUAAGAUGAGUGUGCGUCUGAUUAGCUAGUUGGUAAGGUAACGGCUUACCAAGGCAACGAUCAGUAGCUGGUCUGAGAGGAUGAUCAGCCACACGGGCACUGAGACACGGGCCCGACUCCUACGGGAGGCAGCAGUAGGGAAUAUUGGACAAUGGGCGCAAGCCUGAUCCAGCCAUCCCGCGUGAAGGAUUAAGGCCCUAUGGGUUGUAAACUUCUUUUCUCUGGGAAUAAAAAGUGGGAUUUAUCCUGCCUUGAAGGUACCAGAGGAAUAAGCACCGGCUAACUCCGUGCCAGCAGCCGCGGUAAUACGGAGGGUGCAAGCGUUAUCCGGAUUCACUGGGUUUAAAGGGUGCGUAGGUGGCUUUGUAAGUCAGUGGUGAAAGCCCGGAGCUCAACUCCGGAACUGCCAUUGAUACUGCUUAGCUUGAAUCACGUCGAGGUGGAUGGAAUAUUACAUGUAGCGGUGAAAUGCUUAGAUAUGUAAUAGAACACCGAUUGCGAAGGCAGUUCACUAGGCGUGUAUUGACACUGAGGCACGAAAGCGUGGGGAUCAAACAGGAUUAGAUACCCUGGUAGUCCACGCCCUAAACGAUGUAAACUCGACGUUAGCGAUAUACAGUUAGCGUCCAAGCGAAAGCGUUAAGUUUACCACCUGGGAAGUACGACCGCAAGGUUG
rnacentral:rRNA from 1 species